rnacentral:rRNA from 1 species
UUACCUACCCUUGACAUGUCCUGAAGCCUGGAGAGAUCCGGGUGUGCCCGAAAGGGAACGGGAACACAGGUGCUGCAUGGCUGUCGUCAGCUCGUGUCGUGAGAUGUUGGUUAAGUCCCGCAACGAGCGCAACCCUUGUCAUUAGUUGCUACCGCAAGGAGCACUCUAAUGAGACUGCCGGUGACAAACCGGAGGAAGGUGGGGAUGACGUCAAGUCCUCAUGGCCCUUAUGGGUAGGGCUUCACACGUAAUACAAUGGUCGGUACAGAGGGUUGCCAAGCCGCGAGGUGGAGCCAAUCCCAGAAAGCCGAUCGUAGUCCGGAUCGCAGUCUGCAACUCGACUGCGUGAAGUCGGAAUCGCUAGUAAUCGCGGAUCAGCAUGUCGCGGUGAAUACGUUCCCGGGUCUUGUACACACCGCCCGUCACACCAUGGGAGCGGGUUUCACCAGAAGCCGGUCGCCUAACCGCAAGGGGGGCGCCGACCACGGUGAGAUUCGUGACUGGGGUGAAGUCGUAACAAGGUA